rnacentral:misc_RNA from 1 species
GAUUCUUAAAUCUUAUUGUAUUUUCUGUUCAUAUUUCCGGGAAACAUCUGUAGCGUAGUUCCAAUUUUUCUGUUAGUAUGUAGGAGGAAGCCAAGAGCAGUAAUUUUGGCUAUUCAGUUUUCCACAAUUUUUGAGUAACAUUGGGUGUUAAAAAUGGACUCUUUUGAUGAGGCUAUCGAGUAAUGUUGUUCUUGUGAAUAAAGAUUGCAAACAAGACAAGCUCAACCUCUUUAUGGAGGAAAAAAAAUGAGGAUAAAAAUUUACUCUCUGGAACUGCAUUUGUCUGCUUGUCAUCUUUUUAUGGUUCAGAUUAAUACCAUACGAGUAAUAUAGUAUGAAAUUUCCCCUGAAAACAUGCUACUUUCUAAAUUGUGUGUAUGUGCAAAC